UUAGGAAUCUUCCACAAUGGGCGAAAGCCUGAUGGAGCGACGCCGCGUGAGGGAUGAAGGCCUUAGGGUUGUAAACCUCUAAAAGAGGGACGAUAAUGACGGUACCUCAUGAAUAGCACCGGCUAACUCCGUGCCAGCAGCCGCGGUAAUAAGGAGGGUGCAAGCGUUAUCCGGAAUCACUGGGCGUAAAGGGCGCGUAGGCGGUCUGUUAAGUCCGAUGUUAAAUCCCGGGGCUCAACCCCGGAUAAGCGUUGGAUACUGGCAGGCUAGACGGUUGGAGAGGCGAGUGGAAUUACCAGUGUAGCGGUGGAAUGCGUAGAGACUGGUAGGAACACCCAUUGCGAAGGCAGCUCGCUGGACAACACGUGACGCUGAGGCGCGAAAGUGUGGGGAGCAAACC
rnacentral:rRNA from 1 species